GUGGGGGCUGGGGUCGCCACCAAGGGAACUCGGGGCGACAAAAAGAAACGUAAUACUUGACUCGCCGGCAAUGCCCCCUCAGCACUGCCACGAGCUCACGAUCGUCCAGCCCUCCGACGGCUCGGCGAGGUAGGUUAGGGGCAGCGGGCUUCCGGCUUCCCCGGCUGCCCCGCGAGGCGGGCGGCGGCUCUGCUGGAGAGCUGGGAUCGCUCCGCCAGCCAACACUGUCACUCGCGGGGUGACAGGUCUCUGCGUUAAAAGAUUUGCAUAUGCUAAAUAGGAUUGUCAGCAGCUGAAGAGGCCCCCGGGGGGAAUUGGACUAGAAAAAGUAUUUUUCCCUGAAAAGGCCUUCUCACAAGACCCGUGGACGGCCUGGACCCUGCCCCGGACUGUCCCGUGGGCGGGUGCCACCAGGACCCCAGGCUGAGCCAGAGUGGCUGGUCCGGGGCCACGCCGCUCUCUUCCCCAAGGAAGCCCACAGUCCAGGCUCCCCCCAGGGCAGGGAACAGUUUGACCACCCCAAGGCUCCUUCCUUCCCGGCACAGGGCCCGUGAUGCCCUCCCUGCUCCAUCUGGAGCGUCGCUGGGCACCGCGCGGGAGAUCCCCCCUCCCCACACCCGCACACAAGGUGAGAGGCGGAAAGGUCUGGAAAGAGAGCCCUGGUCAUGACAACAGAUUCCCUUCUUCACACGGCUGGAGCCUGUUCAGCUUCUCAGCCCUAACGGUGCCGGGCUCAGACUUCUCUUCCCGGCCUGUGGGGCAGGGCCUGCCGGGUUUGGGAGCUGGGAUAAGCUGGGGGCCAGGCUGUGCAUGGGGCUGGUUCCCUUGUGCCCUUCACCUUAAUGUUAAUACUCUUGCAGAAGACCGGGCCCUCCUGGGAAGAAAAGGCAACAUCAGUGCCCAGGACCGGCCCUGAGACCCGGGCCAUUCCCUCCUGGAAGCUUUUCCGUUUCGUAGACGUGACCCCAGUAUGGCCUGCAUAAAAACACGGGCGGCAAACAGGACCCUGGGGACCACGGAAGGCCAGAGUGAGCGCCCACUGACAAGAACCCCUCUGCCUGACACGUGCCUGAGGGGAGCCGGGGCCACGCGUGGCCCGCAAGGGGGUCGGCCCUCCUGGCAGCACAGCCCAAGCAGCAGGGGAAACCCCUUCUGGGUUUCACUUCUGCUUUGAGAACAGACCUCCAGCAGCUCCACAGACACUCCCGUUUGGAGUGAAGAAAAGGCAGAGUGAAUUACUGCCGACGUCCAUGGAAAAAACGUUAGUUCUUUGCCCGAGUAAAAAAAUAUCAAAUAUAAUAAAUUUAUGAAAGCCC